AUGGCCCAUAAUGAAGUUCAUCUUGUGUAUGAGCCGACCAGUAGAACCUGGAAGAAAAUGCAUUCUUCUCUAGAAUCCACAAGCAGCCAACAUCAGGGAUGGGGACACAUCCAUGAAGACACAGAUCCUCCACAUUACUAACGAGUGCAGUAGAGUCCCCGAUUGCAGUGCCGUCCUGUCAGAAACAUCUGGAGUGUUCCUUCAAACCACAACUGGAAAGAAGUCAUGCAACACACUGAGUUCCACCUUUACCUUAGUUUUACAGCAACAAUCAUUGUAGAUGUAUGUAUCCUCACCAUUCUUCGCAAUGACCUGA
rnacentral:lncRNA from 1 species